UUUACCUGAGUGGGGUAAAGCAAGGUGCUGGUGUGGUGAAGUAGGUAAAUGUAACUGACAUUGUUAGCCUCAGCUCCUGUGUGUUAGUGUGUCUUUGUCACUGACAAGCAUAAAUUAUGUUUUCUUUUUGUAGAAUGAAGACAUCAAUGUGAAGUGUGAUUGUGUUAUGAGCUGUCUGAGUAUCUACCUCAGUAAAGACCUGGAUACAUUGGUUAAAGAAUACAUGGCAGCUGAGGAUCUGAGACAGUCCAUAAAGCUGAAGCCAUAUGUCAAAAGGUGAGCGGUAAAUGGGGAGAGAGAAGAUUAGGAUAGAGAAUGGUUGGUCCUUUCUCUUCCCUAUCAUCCUCCAUCCAACUCCACCAUGAGUGAAGGUUUGGAGAGGGUUGGAUAGGAGAGGAGUAAACCUUAACCUUAUCCAGGAGCUUAGGAGAGA